CUCAGAUGGCAAGUUUCUUUGUAGCGCUGGUGGUUAUGAUAACCAUGCUGGCUUUGGGAAUCUACCUCGACCCCCUUCCAAAGGCUGUGCUGGGAGCCCUGAUAGCAGUGAACCUGAAAAACUCCCUCAAGCAGCUGGCUGAUCCCUUCUACCUGUGGAAGAAAAGCAAGCUGGAUUGUUUGGUCUGGGUGGUGAGUUUCCUGUCGGCUUUCUUCUUGGGCCUGCC